UCUUAGCGGAAACGAGUUAUCUGAACCUUCGGGGAACGAUAACGGCGUCGAGCGGCGGACGGGUGAGUAAUGCCUGGGAAAUUGCCCUGAUGUGGGGGAUAACUAUUGGAAACGAUAGCUAAUACCGCAUAACGUCUACGGACCAAAGAGGGGGACCUUCGGGCCUCUCGCUUCAGGAUAUGCCCAGGUGGGAUUAGCUAGUUGGUGAGGUAAUGGCUCACCAAGGCGACGAUCCCUAGCUGGUCUGAGAGGAUGAUCAGCCACACUGGAACUGAGACACGGUCCAGACUCCUACGGGAGGCAGCAGUGGGGAAUAUUGCACAAUGGGCGCAAGCCUGAUGCAGCCAUGCCGCGUGUAUGAAGAAGGCCUUCGGGUUGUAAAGUACUUUCAGUCGUGAGGAAGGCAAUAUAGUUAAUAGCU
rnacentral:rRNA from 1 species